rfam:Felis catus isolate Cinnamon breed Abyssinian chromosome A1, whole genome shotgun sequence.
UAGGGGGGACGGGGUUCGGAUCCCCUCCCCGAACCUAGGGUAAUGCUACAAGUGGAGGGGAA